ACGAACCCACAAUUCCAUUCCAAUUUCAGUUUCGUCACGUUUCUCCUACCGAAACCCUAAACUUCUUCAUCGAUAGAUUCUUUCUCAACCACAUGCCGAUUUCCGAUGGUCGCCGGGUAGUCACCGCCGCCGAGGAUGGCGAAGAAAGAAGUCGUCGGUUACGAUUCCGAUGCACCGGGUCGUAUUUUCCUUCGGUGGCCCCUACGGCAGAAUCUUAUUCACCACUAAUUUUUAAACGGCCCUUAACAGCCAUUGAGGAGUUCAGUCUGCUCUAUUUCUCCUUCGUAUCUCACUUGGAGAAAUGUUGGAUUAUUGGACAAAUUCAAUCCAUAUCCGGUUCAGACCCAUGUCUCGUAUCCGGUGAUGACCCGACUUGCGACCUAGUUCUGCCCAAAUCAGAUCCCAACUGUCCAUUCUAGGAUUUUAAUCCUAGCCGUCCGUUCGUGGUAGAUAUAUAUGUAGUUGUUCCUUACGUUAGACACAUGCACCGCUCUGUAUGUUUUUCUCUCAGAACUCUCUUCGAUAUUUUUUUUAUAUUUGUUAUGUGUUUAACGGCGAGGCUUUCCGAAGUUUUUACCAUGAUUAUAGACGAGUAUUGGGUGUAUCUUUGGAGAGUAUUUGGUGAAGUUUCUACGGUUCGAUUCCUCCAAAAUUGAACGAUUCCGAUAUAUAGAGUUUUAGAGCUUUUCUUUUUGGGCAGGAGCUAGGGUCGUUGGGUGUCCGUCGUCCGAGUUGCUCUUUUGUUAUAUCAAUUUUUUGUUUGAUAAAGUGAACUGAUUUGAAAUUUGAGUCAUUUAGUUUGUUCGUUAUGUUUCAGUUGUGUUUCGAACUUCUUUUAUUUUAUUUUUCAGUUCAAAUAAAAGUGUUAUUUUUUAUUUAUUUAUUUAUUUAUUCGAUUUUCUUAUCCUAAAACUAAUAACUACAAGUAAACAUAAAUGACAAGAAAGAUGAUCUAAAGUUAGAUAAUCCUCUAAAUCAAUUUGGCAGAAAAAAAAAAAAAAAAAAAAAACGAAUCUCUGAACACUUUGAUCAAAUAAGGUGAUGAUUGAAAGAAUUAAAUGAAGAAUUUUACUUCAUUUCUUUAAUUGGAAUAUUUGAGAUCAUGUGUUAAUAGAGAAAAAAAAAAAGAAAAAUUACUUCAAUUGAUAGAGUUUACUCUCAAU